ensembl:lncRNA
GGGCGCCGAGCAGCCACCACAGAAACAGGAGGAGAGGAGAAGAGAAGAGAGGAGAGGAGAGGAGAGGAGAGGAGAGGUGGAAGAGAGGAGAGGAGGAAGAGAGCAGGAAGGAGUGCGCUCACCUUGGGAGGAGCAAGUCAAGAUGAGGAGUAAACUGAUGUAGAAGUGGCUCCACACACAGACGCACACACACACACACACACAAACACGCUGUCUCUAUACAGCAUGGAGGAGAUGUGCAAGCUGGAUUAGUGAUGGAUGCAGUCUGUACUGUGAGACCGGAGGAGGAAGUAAGUUUGUUCAGAUGGACGUGGAGACUAACAGAGGGCAAUAGGAGUGGGAGCCGGAGUGAGGAUUCUCAGACAGAGGCGCUGAAUGGGCUGCAGUGGCAGGGACUGGAUGUUUGGUCAGGCUGGAGGGGAAGCUGAAGAGAGCACUCAGAGGACCUCAGACUGGGCCGAAGGUUUACCUUCCAACAGGACAAUGACCCUAAGCACACUGCCCAGACCAUGCCGGAGUGGCUCAGGGACAACUCUGUGAACAUCCUUGCCCUGACUUGAACCCACUCAAACAUCUCUGGAGAGACCUGAAGAUGGCUGUCCACCGACAGUCCCCAACUGACGGAGCUUCAGAGGUUCUGCAGAGAAAAAUGGCAGAAUCCCCAAAUCCAGCUAUAUUGUUAUGCAGCUAUGAAGAAUGUAUCAAGCCAGUAGUUCACAGAGCAGAAGCAGAGGCUAUCAUCAGGCCAGUGAUGUGAUCUUCCUUCAGGUGAGCUCUUAAGUAUCACCAUCAAAGCCUAAGUCAAUGAGGAGCGUUGGAGGGAGUCUGGAUGCUGGCCCAAGGAGUGAGAGCAUCUGUGCUGGACACAACCCCAAUACACUGGACCUGCUCAACCAUUACACAGAUUUGAGACCUUGCUGUUAAGAUGAAAGAUGUGUGUUCAUAUGCAUGUACAACAUGAUGUUUGGAGGGCUUGCUGUUCUUACUGAAUAUGUGCUGGCAAUACGUCUGGAGCACUGGGCACACGCUUAGUGUUACCGGUACAAGGACAGAGGACUGUGCUGUUUCAUGUUGUGGUUGUCGUCCUGGGUAUUAAAGUCUCAGCUAAUUCUGUCAUUUUGUCUGCGCUGUAUCCAAAGCAGUCAAUUUGCUAAGUGUAUGUAGGCCCGAGCAACAGCCCCAGUUCAGAAGUCACUCCUGGGCCCCAGGCCUCACAUGCAGUAACACCGCCCCCUCUGGACUGGAGCAUGGGACAGGUACAGACUUAUAACUAACUCUUAGACAUUACCAUACCUAUGGCCAAUCAACAAAACUGAUGACUUUUGAGGGCUGUCUUCAAAAAAUAUCCGUGAAAGGUACCUAAGUAAAGAUAAGCAGGUCUUUUAAAUGUUUGGAUAUUUUCUUAGAUGUUGAUGGACCAGUCCAAUUAUGUGUAAAUACAGGCUUUUUGCAGCUCUUUGAUUGCUAGCCAUACUCUUUUCUGCUAUGACAUAAUUUGCUUUGUUGUUUUCUUCAAUAGCGCUCCAAUGACAUCAUUGUGUUGAAACUGAACAAAAGGCAUUGGGAAAAAAAGAAUAUGAGAGGUUCAGGAACGACCAUUACAUGAAUUGGAAAUAUUAUCCAGAGCAGGGAAAAGCUAUGAAUGUCUUUCUCCUAAUAAGUGUUUGCAUUUGAUCUGUAAUGUGGUGAUUAACUGUGUUGACUCUAUAGAACCUGCUGUUGUUCCUGUUUAAAUGGACCGAUAGGCUGCCAAGAUAAUCUGUAAACAUUUUUGUUGAGUGGUGGCACUCUCCUCUAAUUAGUGUGCUGGAUGCAAGAUUAGGCCUUGUAAUUAAUUGAUUAGACGUCUUGGGGCAUGGGUAUAUCAGUUCAAUCUAGACACACUGGUAUACCGGUCGAGCACAUCCCAUCCGAAUAGAAAAUCCAAGAUCUUGACAACAAACUGGAAAGUAAGGACUGUGGUGCACCAGGUUUCACCCUAUCACUUUUUCAACUCUUUUCUUUCUUUCUGUCUGAAGUCAGGUGUUUGGUGUGGCAUAUGUCAGCGUCUUACCUGUCUAGGCAUCCCGGCGUCCCUGCUGUCCUGGGAGUCAGCCAAGCGAUGUCAAUUAGCCGUAAGCCAAUGCCAUGACGCGCUCGGGCUGUACCAGGGCUACUGUAUCAUGUUCUGGCUCCCGCAGAGCGGGGCGCAUCUGCGCGGCACCAGGACGAGCGACACCGUUUACAUGGCUUCAACAGGCUCAUGUUCGGGCGUCUUUCUGAUGCGCCAUGAUAAACCCACACACUACAUACAAGCCAGAAAGGCGAGCCAGAACCCCCAGCUCCAGUUGCUCUCCCGCUAACAUCCCCUCCACACGGUUCCCCUGAUAUCACUCUCUCGUUUUGUCUCCACCACUCUCACAACAAACUCUCUCUUUCGGCCAUUUAUACAAUGUUUUUUCUCUGUAGAUGUCUUUGUUACAUUUUUUUCUCAUAUUCUGAAGAUUUGCCAUUGAUCGUUAUGUAGUGAGAUAAUUGUGGCAACUUUUGAUCUUCUUUGAUUAUAAAACUUGUACUUUGAGAACAAAAAAUGGGAUCUUAAAUAUAUUCUCUAUAGAUGUUUCAGUAGAAUUUAUUCCAUGUUUUUCCAUGUGAAAACAAAUAAUAGUUUUACAUAUGUUUUUUUGUUUUUCAAAUGAAGCAGUUUCAUAAAGCAUUUUCAUAAGGCACAUUUAAUUUGGUUUUUAGGUUCAAGUUUUGGAACUGCAAUAAAUCUUUCCUAUCCUCUCUUUGGGAAACACCAUUCGUCUCUAUGGAGCAUCCGAGAUCCCUCUAUUAGUAAUCUGAUCUGCUCUACCAGUUUGGUGUGCAAAGGUGAGACAAUGUAGAGACAGAAGGCAAUGAAUAUGUCUUCAUCUGUAGACAUCUAAAAUGGGAAUCCAGCUGUUUGUUUGUUUAAAUUGUUGUACGCUGUCACACUGGUGCAUGUUUGUGUAUGUGUACAUUCUGUUGGAGUGACAUUGUGGGUCAGUCAGAACUCAGAAGGUUGUACCUUAAACACAAGCUGCCCUUGACCUCAUCGAGUGUUCAAUGGAGGCUUACCUCCAGGACAAUCAAAAGGUUGUGGGUGUGUGCCGUAUCCAUGCCGCGGGAGCACAAGAAAGAAAAUCUCUUAAUUCUGAGGUAUUGUUCCCUUAAUCCCCCUGUCCAUCACACAUCAGUAAGUGUUUCUUUUCUGGCCGUCCAUCAGGGAGUAAGGAGGCAACUUUCAUCUGGGAUC